GACGAACGCUGGCGGCGUGCUUAACACAUGCAAGUCGAACGGUGAAGCGCCUUUCUUUUUGGUGGGUGUGGUUGCGUGGCGAACGGGUGAGUAACACGUGAGUAACCUGCCCCCUUCUUUUGGAUAACCGCAUGAAAGUGUGGCUAAUACGGGAUAUCCUGCGUCUGUCGCAUGAUGGGUCUGGGACAGAUAUUGGGGCGGUGGGGGAGGGACUCGCGGCGUUUCAGCGUGUUGGUGGGGUAGUGGCCUAUCAAGGCGGUGACGGGUAGCCGGCAGGAGAGGGUGACGGGCCACAGUGGGAGGGAGAUACGGCCGAGACUCCUACGGGAGGCAGCAGUGGGGAAUAGUGCACAAUGGGCGGAAGCCUGAUGCAGCAACGCCGCGUGCGGGAGGACGGCCGUCGGGUUGUAAACCGCGUGCGCCGGUGAAGAAGCGUGAGGGACGGUAAUGGGUAAAGAAGCACCGGCGAACGAAGUG
rnacentral:rRNA from 1 species